rnacentral:rRNA from 1 species
GAUGAACGCUGGCGGCGUGCCUAAUACAUGCAAGUCGAGCGAACAGACCAGGACCUUUCUCCUCUGACGUUAGCGGCGGACGGGUGAUUAACACGUGUAUAGCCUACCUAUAAGACUGGGAUAACUUCGGCAAACCGGAUCUAAUACCGCAUAAUAUAUUGCACCGCGUUGUGCAAUAGUUAGAUUCGGUUUUUCGGUCACUUAUAGAUUGAUCCGCGCCGCAUUAGUUAGGUGUUAAGGUGACUGCUUAGCAAGGCUACGAUGCGUAGCCGACCUGAGAGGGUGAUCGGCCACACGGGAACUGAGACAGGGUCCAGACUCCUACGGGAGGAAGCAGUAGGGAAUCUUACGCAAUGGGGGAAAGCCUGACGGAGCAACGCGGCGUGAGUGAUGAAGGUCUUCGGAUCGUAAAACUCUGUUAUUAGGGAAGAACAAAAGUGUAAGUAACUGUGCAGGUCUUGACGGUACCUAAUCAGAAAGCCACGGCUAACUACGUG